ACACAUCUAGUGAACGAGCUCUCUGUGCUGCGCUGGAUAUCGAGUGCGAGCGCGUGAGUAUACAUGAGAACCUGCCCUGGAGACGCGGACGACAUCGCGAAGCUGAGGCUAAUACCGAUAUCCCUGCCGAGUCGCAUGACUUGGCAAGAAUAUACUCAGGUGCUCCAAGAGGGUCUCAUGCCCUAUCAGCUUGUUGGUGAGGUAAAAGCUCACCAAGGCUUAGACGGGUAGCUGGUCUGAGAGGACGAUCAUCCACACUGGGACUGAGACACGGCCCAGACUCCUACGGGAGGCAGCAGUGGGGAAUCUUGCGCAAUGGGCGAAAGCCUGACGCAGCCACGCCACGUGUGGGACGACGGCCCUCGGGUUGUAAUCCACUUUCAGCAGGGACGAAAAUGACGGUACCUGCAGAAGAAGCCCCGGCCACCUACGUGCCAGCAGCCGCGGUAACACGUAGGGGGCGAGCGUUGUCCGGAAUUACUGGGCGUAAAGGGCUCGUAGGCGGUUUGGUAAGUCAGAUGUGAAAACUCCAGGCUCACAUUGGAGACGCCAUCUGAUACUGCCAUGACUAGAGUUUGGUAGAGGAGUGCAGAAUUCCCGGUGUAGCGAGUGAAAUGCGCAGAUAUCGGGAGGAAUCCCAGUCAGCGAAGGCGGCUCUCUGGGCCACAACUGACGCUGAGGAGCGAAAGCGUGGGGAGCGAACAGGAUUAGAUACCCUGGUAG
rnacentral:rRNA from 1 species